AACGAACGCUGGCGGCAUGCCUAACACAUGCAAGUCGAACGAGAUCUUCGGGUCUAGUGGCGCACGGGUGCGUAACGCGUGGGAAUCUGCCCUUUGGUUCGGAAUAACAGUUGGAAACGACUGCUAAUACCGGAUGAUGACGAAAGUCCAAAGAUUUAUCGCCAGAGGAUGAGCCCGCGUAGGAUUAGCUAGUUGGUGUGGUAAAGGCGCACCAAGGCGACGAUCCUUAGCUGGUCUGAGAGGAUGAUCAGCCACACUGGGACUGAGACACGGCCCAGACUCCGGCGGGAGGCAGCAGUGGGGAAUAUUGGACAAUGGGCGAAAGCCUGAUCCAGCAAUGCAGCGUGAGUGAUGAAGGCCUUAGGGUUGUAAAGCUCUUUUACCCGGGAUGAUAAUGACAGUACCGGGAGAAUAAGCUCCGGCUAACUCCGUGCCAGCCGCCGCCGUAAUAC
rnacentral:rRNA from 1 species